GGUUCGAUUCUGGCUCAGGAUGAACGCUGGCGCCGUGCUUAACACAUGCAAGUCGAACGAACCUUCGGGUUAGUGGCGGACGGGUGAGUAACGCGUGAGAAUCUGCCCUCAGGAGGGGGAUAACGGUUGGAAACGACCGCUAAUACCCUAUAUGCCGCGAGGUGAAAUGAAUUUCGCCUGAGGAUGAGCUCGCGUCUGAUUAGUUAGUUGGUGGGGUAAAGGCCUACCAAGACAUCGAUCAGUAGCUGGUCUGAGAGGAUGAUCAGCCACACUGGGACUGAGACACGGCCCAGACUCCUACGGGAGGCAGCAGUGGGGAAUUUUCCGCAAUGGGCGAAAGCCUGACGGAGCAACGCCGCGUGAGGGAUGAAGGCCUCUGGGCUGUAAACCUCUUUUAUCAAGGAAGAAGAUCUGACGGUACUUGAUGAAUAAGCCACGGCUAAUUCCGUGC
rnacentral:rRNA from 1 species